CCACAUAAAUAUCGUCACAACCAAAUCACUAUGUUGUAACAAUAUGGACAAGCUCUCGACAACAAUUAUAUCAUGAAAAAUACAAUUUGACUAAUUUUUUAUUUUUUUUGGAGUUAACCCUCCGGUUUUCAGGGAAUGGGACCCUGGUAUUCAGAGUUCAGCCAGAAAGUAAGUAAAGUCUGACAAAGAAUUAUUCCACCAAGAAAUCAAACUCAGGUUCUAACAAUUCGUCAUUGGCGGAACUUAUAACAUGAAUAUAAUUUUUUUAUUACUGUGAAUAAUAUAUAAGAAUUAAAAUACCUAGGUGUGUUGUUUUUAACAACAUCUUGUUCAAUUUGAAGAGGAGGAGGAGGAGGAGGAGGAACAUUGUUAACAACAUCAGAAGAAGGAAGAGCAACAGUUUGAUCAACAGCAGC
rnacentral:lncRNA from 1 species